AAGGAAACCGAGGCUGCGAGGGAUACACUUAAACUCCCAUAUCAAGUCAAAAGAUAUCUUCUGAGUAGCUGGAUUAUCGACAGACAGGGUUUCUGCACACGUUGCCAUCAGGACUGAAUUUACUGAGGCAGAAAGAGUCUUAAGUCUCUCUCGUUCCAGGCUGAGAAUCAAUGCCACAUUGAUUUUCCUAUCAAUAGACAUUAUCAUAGAUCAGGCAUCUGCUAGCACUGGCCUCAAUCCACGUGCCGCCUGUUGCCACGGGGACAGAGAGAUUUCAUCACUCCUCGCUCUCUGACAGACAGACAGACAGAGAGAGAUGGCUAAAAAGCAAGGGAUGGCAGGGAAAUGCAUGCACACACGCAGGGUAGAGGAUCAAUACCUGAAGUGCAAAGGAUAUUGAGUCAGAGGGGAUGUUGGAUUUGACUACCGGAGGAAAAAAAGUGCAGCUUUUGUCACCGAGCAAGCAGGUUUCAGAGAUCUCCUGGAGUUUGCACAUAAAAUGCACCAAAACCAUAAAACAGGUAUCCCUGAUUGUGUGAUGGCUCCAUGAAAGAAAAAUAUCUGGCAACAGAAUAUGAUUAGCCAAAAAAACAUGCACAAACUCACUCUAUGCACAUAUUCAUAAACAUACAUAAUUAUCGAAUACCAGCAUCUGAGAGAUAUAAGCUGUAGAUCGAUCCUUUGCGGAGACACUGACAACACAUUCAUGGGAAAAUGACAAAUACAAAAAUCAGCUCAUAUCUGCAAAACAUGGAACGCCUCCUUACAAAGCCGCUUGAGGUGUUGAAGCAUAUAUGGUUAGAGGAAGAUAAUUUCCUCAAUGUGUGUGUUUGU